GCAGAACUUUCCACUCGUGCUGCUCAUAUCGCGGCCCUUGGGGACUCUGCACGAGUGGACGGGGAAGUGCCCCCGCUGUUUGCCAUUCACCUUCCAGAACGGCACCCCGAAUUAUGCCAGCCCAUCUCCGCUCCGUUGCUGGAGCCCCUUCUGCCGUAGUACAGUCAGGCAGAGCAGCAGAGGGUGUCACCGAAGCGCAGGAGCCCACAGCCGGAAUUUGCUUAAUUAGUUGUUGCACCGACUGAGCCGGCGGUAUAGGGCCUGAGUUCAGCGCGCUGUCCCGCCGACCCUCUAGCUUCUGUAUGGCUUCGCCGACUUGUCUCCCUAAUUCAGUUACUGUAGGCUGUCCCGGCGUUGCCGUAGAAACUCGAUGACGUUCGGGAGGGAAUAAAUCCGCCUCCGAGUCCGACUCCCCGUCUCCGCUGCCCGGCAGAGGGACCUUCUGCAGACGGGCGGUGGGAGGCGGCGCGGAGGUUGGCAGGGGCGGACUGCGGCGCGAUGCACUUCCGCACCUGGACUUCCAGUCGCCGCAGCCGGCUGAGGGGGAACUUCGUCCUCGGGAGGCGCUGACACAGCGAUCCAACUCCCCACCGGGCACCGCGGCGCUGGGGCGGUGGUUCUCAGCGUAGCCCUGGAAGCACUGCACUCCCGUGGAGAGCACCGGGCGGAGGCGGCUGAGGUGGCGGUCGCCGCGCAGUCCGGGCUCGGGCCGCUGGAGGCCGCGGGCGGCCGUUCAGCGGGGGGUCGUAUGGCCUUCAGGGCGUUGGGGACGGCACGCCACACCGGUCCCAGAGGCCUCGUAGCGAGGUGAAAGUAGAACCACGGGAGCUGACAGAAGCACGGUGAUGAGACAAAAAGUGUGCUGCAGUAAACACGGCUGAAGGAGAUGACAUUGACGAGAGCGAUGGGUUGCACUGAGGACGGAAGCGCAGGCAACAGCAGCAAAAAAUGCAGCAAGGGUAAAGACCUUCCCUUUGGGUACAGGAGUAAAAGCUGACAGCUGACAGGAGCGAUGCCACUGGUGGGAACAAGGACUGCCACUGGUCAAAGGAGGGUCCUUCAUGGUGCUCAGCAUGCCAGCACUCAGCUCUGCGAGCUCCUUGCACAGACUGGGGAUGAGAGGGGCUGACAUCAUUGCACCCUUAACUGCCCUUCUGGAAAGAUAAGGAGGAUUGCAGUAUUGCAUGCUGAGAUAAAAAGGAAACAGGAGGUGUGGGAAAUCAAAAGCUAUUGGUGACAGCCCCAGAAGACAGUCGCACUGCACCAGAAGACCUUGUACAAUGGGAAGUGUGAGAGCCAUCGUGCCAUUGCACUCUGUUACUCCAGCUAACAGCAUGAGGCUGACAGAAUCUUCUAGCAAUUAGCAAACCUGUUGGUGUCCAUCUUUGUGUAACACAUGAACAAAACAGGCACAGCUAUUCGGGGAGACUGGCAGGAAGGAAUAGUGGGAGGAGGACGACAAGUGGGGCACCUCUGCAGAAAUAAAACGUCAUUACAGUGUAUAUUACAAAACCAGAAUACGAAGAUUUCUAGUUUUGUGUGAAAUAACACACUGCAAUAUGAAAACUAGUAGCUAUAAAGCGUGUCAUCACCCACAUCCAACUGCUGCUAGUAGAGAAGGAACAGAGGAGGAAACAUCCGCUCCAUGUAAUCCUUGCAGCCUUCAGUACUUCUGCAAGCAGCUCCGUGUAACUUCACCCAGAUGCCACGAACAGGUCUUGUUUUGCCCAUUUUUGCCUGAAAUCCUGUGAUCACAUGGAGUCCAUGGUUUUAACCUUAUAGCUACUCACGCAGUGUAUUUGCAAUGACAUGCACAAGAUGCGCCCUUUUCACUUGAUUUUAGUGUCUUCCUGACCCUCUGAAGGCUGGAGCAGAAUUGCUCUGAAGCUGCCGAGGCUCAGCACUGAAGCUGCCCAGUACAGCCUCAUCACUUCCAGCACUGAGGCAACAUGUCCUUGUUUUUUGCCAUCCUGUUUGAUGCAUCGCCCUAGCACUGCGAUGGCAGACAUCCAGCCACGGGAAGGAGAGCCCUGAUCAAUACAUCUCUGCUGUGCAGACCUGAAUUAACUGCACCUCACUUUCCCUUGACAGAGACACAGAUCACAGGCAGCUGCAGCUUCCACUGCGAGUAACACGAAUUCUGGAAGCAUAUUCAUUACCUGGUUGUUAGAAGCAACAGAGCAUGCAGGCCUCACCCUGCCUGGGCUACCUGCAAAACCAAUGUCUCUGUUUGAUGGAGUGAGUGCCAGCCACUCACCUUCCCACUCUAACCUUCAUGUGGCAGGGCCGUGACAACUGCAUAUAGUGUCACAUCACACAACGUUUCACUGAGCCUCACAGAUAGAUGGCUUGAUUUGUUUCAUGGCCUGCUCUGUGGCAGUGUUUCCACUGCAAACCCUGGUUUAAGGACAAAAUAUAUUGGCUUUCAUAUGAAACCUAGCCAAGGAGAAGCCCGAGGAGGUCCAAAGCUCUCUGUCUGUACCCAGCUUACAGCACUUACGGCAUUCCAACCAAUUCCACCAGCUCCCACUAUUUUUUAUGUUGUAGGACUCAGGAUUUCCUAACAAUUACAGUUCCUUAACAGAACCUCCGUAGCUACUGCUUG
rnacentral:lncRNA from 1 species